GAUGAACGCUGGCGGCGUGCCUAAUACAUGCAAGUCGAGCGAACAGACGAGGAGCUUGCUCCUCUGACGUUAGCGGCGGACGGGUGAGUAACACGUGGAUAACCUACCUAUAAGACUGGGAUAACUUCGGGAAACCGGAGCUAAUACCGGAUAAUAUAUUGAACCGCAUGGUUCAAUAGUGAAAGACGGUUUUGCUGUCACUUAUAGAUGGAUCCGCGCCGCAUUAGCUAGUUGGUAAGGUAACGGCUUACCAAGGCGACGAUGCGUAGCCGACCUGAGAGGGUGAUCGGCAACACUGGAACUGAGACACGGUCCAGACUCCUACGGGAGGCAGCAGUAGGGAAUCUUACGCAAUGGGCGAAAGCCUGACGGAGCAACGCCGCGUGAGUGAUGAAGGUCUUCGGAUCGUAAAACUCUGUUAUUAGGGAAGAACAAAUGUGUAAGUAACUAUGCACGUCUUGACGGUACCUAAUCAGAAAGCCACGGCUAACUACGUG
rnacentral:rRNA from 1 species